UCUUCUAUAGACUCUACGCCAUUCGACGAGGCGGAAGAGACAAGAGAGCACCAGGAAUUUGGUUUCCCGGUGAAUAAAUCGGCUGUCUUGAUCUGUUACGGACGCGACGGUGAUUUGGGUUUGAUGCUCUCACAAAGAGCAUCUGCUUUCCUGUAGGAGGAAUAUUAUGGGACAAAAAAAAGCAUUCAAUCCAACGCCAAAUCUUGCAGAAGUGGAAGCCGUGUUUGAUUCACCAUUCUGAAGUACACUGCUUGCUUUAUCUAGUUGGAAAUUAUCAAGAUGGGUGAUGCUGUGCAAAUCUGAAUCAUUUGACCUGAAACCCAAGGUAUGUUGCGGUGAUGUUGUCAUUUACAGCUGGAGAAAACAAGGAAAAUGAUUAGUGAAUUGCUGUCUUAAACGUGAUCUUUGAAAAUCUGAUACCAAAAGAAGAAAACUAUCGGUGACAUUAGAUUGUUUUUUGUCAUAUGGAUCAAAUAAGGAGGAGAAAAGGAAAGAGAUUGAGGAAAGAAUUAGAGGGGAUAACCAAGGAUUCUAGCUAUAACUACAAUCAAUAGUAGCAUUGUACGGUUUAAUUUCUUUCUUUAUUAGUUUAGUGUAAUGUAUCAAGUCCCUAAGUAUGAGAAAAAAUAUAUACACCUCAAACAUUCUCAUUCCUCAACGCCCUCUUAAUUACAAUCCCAAAGCAUUAUAGGGGGUUUCUUUACUACUCCAUAUAGUGUAAUGUAA